UUAUUUACUUCAUCGGAGCGACUACCAUUUAGUCGUUGUCCUUUCACUCUCAUCGCCGGCUUUUCCAACGAUCUCCCCGGAGGGAAACGUUCUCCGGCGUUCCCCGAUUCUCCGGAUCGGAUUUAUUCAUCGAAUCUCCCUCGUUAUCGAUUGAUAUUUUUUCUUACUUGUAUUACCAACUGAGCUUUGCUUUUUUAUUUUUUUAUUUUUCCAUCUGACUUCAAUUUGUCUUCUCUUUCCCCAAUUCGAUUUCGCUAUUUCUUUCGCCAAUUUUUCAAUGGAGGACUGCAUCAGCAGCGAUGAAGACUACUAUGACUCCGAUCGUGAGUCUCUUCAGGGUCUCGAGAACGAGGACUCUGAAAUUCAGUGGGUUUCUAAAGGUUCCGCGACUAAGGUUAUUACAAAGGAAUCUCUCCUUGCUGCACAGAAGGAGGACAUGCGUAGAGUAAUGGAGUUACUAUCAUUGAGGGAGCACCAUGCUCGGACCUUACUCAUUCAUUACCGAUGGGAUGUAGAGAAAUUGUUUGCAGUACUUGUGGAGAAAGGGAAAAGUCACUUGUUUGCUACUGCUGGUGUUACUAUGAUUGAGAAUCGAAGUAAUUGUUCCUCUGAGACUUCCUCCGUGGUGAUGUGUGAUAUCUGCAUGGAGGAAGUACAUAGCAAUGAUGCAACAAGAGUGGAUUGUGGUCAUUGCUUUUGCAAUAACUGUUGGACUGAACAUUUCAUUGUGAAAAUAAAUGAGGGUCAGAGUCGUAGAAUCAGAUGCAUGGCCCACAAAUGUAAUGCAAUUUGUGAUGAAGCUGUUGUUAGGAAUCUAGUUAGUAAAAGGCAUCCAGAUCUUGCCAAUAAAUUUGAUCGUUUCCUUCUUGAAUCAUACAUCGAGGAUAACAAAAGAGUCAAGUGGUGUCCAAGCGCUCCUCAUUGCGGCAAUGCUAUACGCGUGGAGGAUGAUGAGUUCUGUGAAGUAGAAUGUUCUUGUGGUCUUCAGUUUUGUUUCAGUUGCUUAUCAGAUGCUCACUCGCCGUGUUCAUGUUUGAUGUGGGAACUUUGGAUCAAGAAGUGCCGAGAUGAAUCUGAAACUGUUAACUGGAUUACAGUUCAUACAAAGCCCUGUCCGAAGUGCCAUAAACCUGUGGAGAAGAACGGAGGCUGUAAUCUCGUCAGCUGCAUCUGUGGUCAAGCAUUUUGUUGGCUGUGUGGUGGAGCCACUGGUCGAGAGCACACUUGGUCGAGUAUUUCUGGUCAUAGUUGUGGGCGUUACAAAGAAGAAUCAGAACAGAAAGCUGAGCGAGCAAAACGGGAUUUGUACCGUUAUAUGCACUAUCAUAAUCGAUACAAAGCUCAUACAGAUUCUUUUAAGCUUGAAAGCAAAUUGAAGGAAUCCAUACAAGAGAAGAUCUCGAUUUCUGAAGAGAAGGAAUCUAUGCUCAGAGAUUUUAGUUGGGUAAACAAUGGACUGUGUAGACUUUUCAGAUCAAGGCGGGUUCUAUCAUACUCUUACCCAUUUGCGUUCUAUAUGUUUGGGGAUGAGCUAUUCAAAGACGAGAUGACUCAGGAGGAAAGGGAGAUAAGGCAGCAUCUAUUUGAGGACCAACAGCAGCAACUUGAGGCAAAUGUUGAGAAGCUCUCCAAGUUUUUAGAGGAACCGUUUGAUCAAUACACAAAAGACAGGGUAAUGGAUAUAAGGAUGCAAGUCAUCAAUCUGUCGGUUAUCACCGAUACCCUCUGCAAGAAGAUGUACGACUGUAUUGAGAAUGAUCUUCUGGGUUCACUUGAACUGGGUAUCCACAAUAUUGCUCCUUACAAGUCGAAGGGCAUUGAGAAGGCGCUGGAGCUUUCUGCUUGUUGGAACAGCAAAGCAAAUACUACAGACAAAUAUCUGCCAUCAGACUGUGGAACAAGUGGAGGAUUGUCAGAGCGGAAUAGACUGAGUAGCUUGAAUACUGAUGAGAACGGAUGCUCGUCUAGGAAGCGUGCCAGAGCUGAAGUCGUUACUGGCAACUGCUUCGAUCUAAACUUACCUGCUGAGGUUGUUGAUAGAAACUGAUCUCUCGAAGUUGCGAGUUUAUAACGUACAGUUGUACAGAUCUGACAUAAAACAUUAGCUUCGUUAGCACGGGGACAGGCAAUCGAGGAUUGGCAAUCCUAGGAAGAAAUAAUGAUAAAAGCUGGUUAUAGCUGUUGGAAUCUUUGGCAUUUCAUGAUUUUGUUUUUAGUUAAACACGGGAGUAAAGUCGAACGUUCAACUUCUUCUUGAUUGAAGAUAUGUGUUUUAACUAGUUGAGUUAUGCUAACGUUGGCAUUUUUAGUGGUUUAUGAUGGGAAGUGUCACUUUCUUGGUGGGUUAUAGCUGUUGGAAUGUUCCUCAUUUCAUGAUGAUUUUAUUUUUAGGUAAACACGUGGAGUGAAGUCUCGAACCUUCAACUUCUUGGUUGAAGAUAUGUAUUUUAACUAGUUGAGUUAUGUUUACGUUGAUGUUUUGAGUGGUUUAUAAUUGGAAGUGUCACUUUUUUGGCUGGUUA